UACAGAGGGUGCAAGCGUUAAUCGGAAUUACUGGGCGUAAAGCGUGCGUAGACGGUUGCGUAAGUCAGCUGUGAAAGCCCCGGGCUCAACCUGGGAAUUGCAUUUGAGACUGCGUAGCUAGGGUGCGGAAGAGGGAAGCGGAAUUUCCGGUGUAGCGGUGAAAUGCGUAGAUAUCGGAAGGAACACCAGUGGCGAAAGCGGCUUCCUGGUCCAGCACCGACGUUCAGGCACGAAAGCGUGGGGAGCAAACAGG
rnacentral:rRNA from 1 species